CAGGUGGAAAGGGAUCGGUGGGGGCUCGAUCUCAUACAGGGAUGCCGGCGGCGCGGCGACGCAAGCGGUCCACGAUGGGAUCCAGUGUUCGCUGGUCUUCCCAGUGGAUCAAGCCGAGGCGCUCAAGGCGAUCCAGCAGCGCGCGGCCUUCUCAGUGGAUCCAGCCGAGGCGCGCCAGGGAAUCAUCCUAGGGUUUGGAGUUGGUGACCGAGGAGGAGGCGGCACCGGCGAUGGUGCGCAAGCCGUGCACGAGGCCACGACGACUCCACAAAGUCUGCUCCGCUCUCCCCGACCCUCGACGACGUGCUCUCCGAUCUCCACUCCCUCCUUCUCUCCACGCUCGCCGCGUCGCUGCCCACCCCAUCACCAUGGCGACGAUAAAUUGCCUCUCAUUCCUAUCCUGCGCGGAACAAGUUAGGCCUGGAAGGUCUGGAAGGGGGGAGAUAUGAGAUUAUAGCCUGCCUUGGUGGUCACGUUGAGGGAUCAAUCCUGUUCUUUCCUUAUUAGAAAAUAAUUUGGUGUAUUUCUGAUAAGAAUUUUGUACAUUAUGGUGCAAGUUUAUCUUCUUUUUACCUGGGACGGCUGCAUGAUUUUGUGACUGAUUGCUACAGAUGAUAUUUUCUUGUAGGUUCUAAAGACUCGAGGUCAUUGACCCUCAUCACGGCAUCUAACAUGGAGCGACCUGUUAAUGUCGUCGACACAUAUUUUCUAUUUGAUCAUGUAAGCUCCUGUAUCUCAGACUUUUUUCAUAUAUAUGCACAUAUGGCAAUAGCCAUCUUCUUAAGUUGUUUUAAGUAGUCCUACAUACAAUUGAACUCAGAACACAUGGUCAUGCCUCUGCUUAAGUUACUUGGAACUUUUACAUGCUAAGACCAUAUCCUCCUCAUGUGUAAUUUUCUUGAAAUGACAAGCCCUUAUGCUGGUGCAUUUUGCAAUGUGCCUUCUGAUUAAUGUGUCGAAGUUGGAUCGGGUACCAUUUAUGUGUACAUGAUUCAAUCUUCAGUGCCAAUUUCUUUUGUCUGGCCCAUAUCGUUCUCACUUUCAAGCCUUGAUUUAUUAUACCUUUAGCUUUGAUAAGGUAUUUUUACCAACGACAAGAGACUACCUAACUGUUCAUUGUGGGCAUUUUCCUUAUAAAUUAGAAGAGCAAAUGGUUACGUGGUGAGACAGAUUUGUGUGAUCACAUGCUUAGACCGUUCUGCAUGUGCUAGCUAUGGACCUAGAAGAUGAAGAUACUGAAAUUUUCCUCGCAAAUGCAGGCUCCUGGAAGAACUGAUUUAGAGUGCCAUAUCUACAGUUGAUGUCAUCAAUGAUUCAGUAGAUCCUUUAUAGAAAAUCCUCUAUCUGUUAUGCUCAUCUCUCACGAUGAAAUUUUGGCUCAGAUUUCCUGUCAGGUUUGCCAGGGAAAGCGGUGAAAAAAGACAAAUAAUAUCUUUCAAUAUGCACAUAUCCCCAGAAAGCAAUUUGGUAAUAUCGUAUUUGUUUAUUAGAAUAUGUUUGCACAACUCCAUAAAGUUCUGACCAAUAGUUAGAAGUGAUUAUGAACAUGUGUAGCUGACAAAACAACUACCCUUGAUGAUUAUUUUACCCCAUCAACCAGGUGAAUGCUAUAUGUACCUGAAGUAUCAGUUCGGGAUGUUUUCUCUCUCUUAUGGACACAAAUAUCUACUCCCUCUGUUCAUGGAUGUAUCUAGAACUAAAAUACAUCUAGAUACAUCCAUUUCUGUGACAACUAAUUCCGAACGGAGGGAGUAGCUUCUAAGAACUAAUAAAUAUGCACAUUAUGUUGUACAUAAAAAUGAUAAUGUUUUUACGAUUGAGCACAUGUAGAUAAAGGAAAUAGUUAUUCCAGAUAAACCGUUGGUCUUUCACAGUUAUAAUAUUUAUUACUAUAGAAGCAGAAUCCGAUUUUCUUAUCUAGCUGCAGCAGUGAGAUAAAUCUUUGUAUGCACUUGCAUAGUUUAGGUUUUCGUUGUAAUUAUACGUACUAUCUUGUGAUUGUGGUCUUCAUUUUUAUGACUUCUGCUCUUUGUGUCAAUAUACACUUUCCCAGAAUAAAUAUCAAUUCUUUAGUUUUCAUUUUUUAUCAGGUGAAGCAGCAACACAUCUAUGUUUUUAUCAUCUGGGAUGUUUGGAACUUUAUUAUCUUUGACUGAUUGCGUACCUUUGUUUUCAAACACUGGCUGGGUUCAAGAAUCCUACUUGGCUUAUUUAGAGAAGCAUAUGUAAGCUAUAUUUGAUAAAUGGUCUCAGCCUUAGGUUGCUAAUAUUGGAAAGGUGGACAUAUAAUCUGGUCAGUUCUUGACUCCGAGAGUUAGGCUGUUUGAGAAGAUUGUAAGCUUAUGGAAAUGUCUGCCUAUCGUCAAGAACCUCUGAGGCAACUGCAUAUUUUGUUCUGUACAAAUCGACAAGCUGCAGGAGUUAGCUGAGGGAAGCUGCAUCUAUUUCUCCCUAAAGAGAAAAACGCAUCUAUACUUUGCCAUGGUGCACCACACUAGCUUAUCCAAGGGCUCUAAGAUAGCGUAUGCCUCAGCUUUGCCUCAUAUGAAGUCCAUCACAACUGAACACGGUUCUGCUUGUUUCUGGAACUUACAACUACUAAAACUUAUCAUAUCCGCUCCAUUAUUUGGCAAACUAGGCUGAGAAAGCCAUGAUGUUUCCUUUGUGUAUUCUAAAUGGGCUGCUGUGUUGGAUGGGAAUAACACAACCUCCUUUUAUUUGCAUGCAAAAGAAACAAAGAGCUUGUAAAGACUUUACGAUUUGUAUUUAACCCAGGGCACACUAUGAGCAUAUGACCAUUUUAACAAUAAGUAGUUUCUAUUAAA